AACGAACGCUGGCGGCAGGCUUAACACAUGCAAGUCGAGCGCCUCGCCAGAGGAGCGGCAGACGGGUGAGUACCGCGUGGGAACGUACCCUUAUCUUCGGAAUAGCUCUGGGAAACUGGAAGUAAUACCGAAUGUGCCCUUAGGGGGAAAGAAUUAUCGGAUAAGGAUCGGCCCGCGUUGGAUUAGCUAGUUGGUGGGGUAAAGGCCUACCAAGGCGACGAUCCAUAGCUGGUCUGAGAGGAUGAUCAGCCACAUUGGGACUGAGACACGGCCCAAACUCCUACGGGAGGCAGCAGUGGGGAAUAUUGGACAAUGGGCGCAAGCCUGAUCCAGCCAUGCCGCGUGAGUGAUGAAGGCCUUAGGGUUGUAAAGCUCUUUCACCGGAGAAGAUAAUGACGGUAGCCGGAGAAGAAGCCCCGGCUAACUUCGUG
rnacentral:rRNA from 1 species